rnacentral:rRNA from 1 species
CUCCUGGAAACGGGUGGUAAUGCCGGACGUUCCACAACACCGCAUGGUGUUGUGGGGAAGGCCUUCGGGCGGCAAGGGAUGGAGUCGCUUCCUAUCAGCUUGACGGUGGGGUAACGGCCUACCGUGGCAACGACGGGUAGCCGGCCUGAGAGGGCGGCCGGCCACAUUGGGACUGAGAUACGGCCCAGACUCCUACGGGAGGCAGCAGUGGGGAAUAUUGCGCAAUGGGGGAAACCCUGACGCAGCGACGCCGCGUGCGGGAUGAAGGCCUUCGGGUUGUAAACCGCUUUUGUUGGGGAGCAAGCGAGAGUGAGUGUACCCUUCGAAUAAGGACCGGCUAACUACGUGCCAGCAGCCGCGGUAAUACGUAGGGUCCAAGCGUUGUCCGGAAUUAUUGGGCGUAAAGGGCUCGUAGGCGGUCGGUCGCGUCUGGUGUGAAAGCCCACUGCUUAACAGUGGGUCUGCGUUGGAUACGGGCUGACUAGAGUGCGGUAGGGGAGACUGGAAUUCCCGGUGUAACGGUGGAACGUGUAGAUAUCGGGAAGAACACC